GUGUUCCUACGGGGGGCAGCAGUGGGGAAUAUUGCACAAUGGGGGAAGCCCUGAUGCAGCAACGUCGCGUGAGUGAGGAAGUAUUUCGGUAUGUAAAGCUCUAUCAGCAGGGAAUAGAAAAGAAGGUACCUGAAAAAGGAGCCCCGGCUAACUACGUGCCAGCAGCCGCGGUAAUACGUAGGGGGCAAGCGUUAUCCGGAUUUACUGGGUGUAAAGGGAGCGUAGACGGAAAGGCAAGUCAGAAGUGAAAACCCAAGGCUCAACCAUGGGACUGCUUUUGAAACUGUCAAACUAGAGUA
rnacentral:rRNA from 1 species